ensembl:lncRNA
CACACGUCCCGCAGCCCCAGCGGGCCCGCCCCCGCCAGCCCUGGGGCGCACGCGGGCGCGCACUGCGAGGUCGCGGUCCCGGGGUGGGGGCUGCAGCCGUGUCCCGCUCUCCGCCUUUAGCCCUCAGGCUGCGAGGCCCGAGUCCAUCCGGGGUUCGCGAUUGGAGCGCCCACCGCGUGCCCAGCACAGAGCGCAACAGAAAGAAGCUGAAAAGCCGUGGCUCAGAGCCACGUCCAGAGCUCUGGCUGAGCUGGAAGUGAGAAAAUUGACAUCUCGACAUUCAGGAGAAGCAAAAAGAUGAUGAAGAAGAAGAAAUAGUCCAGGUUGCUUUUGCAGUUGCUGUUCUCACUUCUUGGAAUGCUGUUCCUCUUGGCUUACUACAUUUCUUGAACAUCUUCAUUCCUGUUGCUACGCAACUGUUGGCUUCUCGAUGCCUCUGCCUGCUCUCUACCUACGUGAAGUCUCUCCUGGCAUACUCAAAACAGUCUUUCCCCACUCUCUAUGGGGACCUCUUCUUCCUUAUUGCUCUGUUCCUGAUAAAAGUCCUCAGUUUUCAUCAGCUACUGUGGGAAAACAAGCCAACUCAAUAAAGCCACAUUAAAGGGGAGACUGUGAAACUGAGCUCUACCUGGUCAUAGAUGUAUGCUCAUUUGCCUAAGCACGUAUGACUGUCAAAGACAAACACCACUGGACACUAAGAAAAGUGGUGAAAACAUACUAUUCAGUGACUGCUGACAGGAGAGGAACUGAUUGAGCUCACUCCUAUUUGUGCAGAGGUAAUUUGGGCAUUUUAAAGGCAGAAGAAGGAGAAGGCAGGGCAGGGGUACGGUAGUGUCAGAGAAAUGAAAAAUUACAAAAGAUCAGUCAGUGUACGUGCGAUUAGGUCAGCUGGG